rnacentral:rRNA from 1 species
UUUACCAAAAACAUAGCCUUUAGCCCUACAAGUAUUAAAGGUCCCGCCUGCCCAGUGACAUGGUUCAACGGCCGCGGUAUUCUAACCGUGCAAAGGUAGCGUAAUCACUUGUCUCCUAAAUAGAGACCCGUAUGAACGGCUAAAUGAGGGCUGACCUGUCUCUUACACCCAAUCAGUGAAACUGAUCCCCCAGUACAAAAGCUGGGAUACACACAUAAGACGAGAAGACCCUGUGGAGCUUAAAAUACCCAUCAACAACCGUAAAUGAUGCUAAUUUAAGUUGGGGCGACUUCGGAAAUAAACAAAACUCCCGAGCAAGUGGUCAUCAACCACACAAAGGCCCACAAGCCAAAGUACUACUAACUAAACUGACCCAGUAAAACUGAUCAACGAACCAAGUUACCCCAGGGAUAACAGCGCCAUCUUCUUCAAGAGUCCAUAUCGACAAGAAGGUUUACGACCUCGAUGUUGGAUCAGGACAUCCUAAUGGUGCAACCGCUAUUAAGGGUUCGUUUGUUCAACGAUUAAUAGUCCUACGUGAUCUGAGUUC